rnacentral:rRNA from 1 species
GCUUACGGCCACACCACCUGCUUCACGCCCGAUCUCGUUUGAUCUCGGAAGCUAAGAUAGGGUGGGCCUGGUUAGUACUUGGAUGGGAGACCGCCUGGGAAUACCAGGUGCUGUAAGCU